rnacentral:rRNA from 1 species
UACGAAGGGUGCAAGCGUUACUCGGAAUUACUGGGCGUAAAGCGUGCGUAGGUGGUGAGUUAAGUCUGUCGUGAAAGCCCCGGGCUCAACCUGGGAAUGGCGAUGGAUACUGGCUCGCUAGAGUGCGGUAGAGGAGAGUGGAAUUCCCGGUGUAGCAGUGAAAUGCGUAGAGAUCGGGAGGAACAUCAGUUGCGAAGGCGGCUCUCUGGACCAGCACUGACACUGAGGCACGAAAGCGUGGGGAGCAAACAGA